UCCUGGCCUCGGAGGGUGGUGGCAUGACUUCCCCAUCUUGUCCAUCCUUCCUCACAGGCGGUAGCAGUGUCCUGCUGUCUCUGUCUCUCGGUGACCCAGUCUUGCCCACAGCACUACAGUCUAACAUGAGUGGGAGAUCGUAUGGCUCCAUGGCUCUCAGCAAGAUCAGCGUCAGCAUCGGCUUCAGGAGUUUCCUUUGUGCCUCUCAAGGAAGCACUUUUCUGGGGAACCGGGCACAAGAAAGGCCAAAGCCAGCCAGCGUGUUCCCUCUGUACCACUGCGAUUCCUUUGUGGGAUAAGCGAUGAAUGACUGGAGCCUCCGCAGCCACCACAGAGCAUGAGGAAUGCUGUGGAGGAAAACCACAGAUGAGGAUGCUAAGCCCGGGUUCCUGAGGAGCAUGGUGCCUCGAUGCCAAUCCUGGGAUUAUUACACCAGGCUCCUUUUAAGUGCAAGAAAGGAAGUUAUUGUCCAUUUAAAUUUCUGCUGUUUGCAUCCAUGCUACUACUGGUUGAAUGUAAUGCUGACCACAGGCAACAAAUUCACUACUAAGCUAUUGUGAUAAAAUGUAUGUGCAGCACAUGAAGAAACAAGCCAAGUAGGGGUUAAUAAAGAGUCCAUGAAAAAAUUCAAACGGGAACUUAAUAUAAUUAAAAAUGGUGUUUCAUUUGGAGGGGAAGAGACGCUAGCUGCACCAGAUCUCCAUCUGGAAGAAAGCACAGUGACACUCUACCCUACUUCCCACGUAAAAAUAAACUCCAGAUGGAUUAGAAGGCUAAACGUGAAAAUAAAAGUACUAGAUACAAAUUGAGGAAUUAUUUAUAAAGUUGCAAAGAAGCCCCUGAAGUAGAAGAUGAAGCUCAGAGACCCCCGAGAGCCACCAUUUGAAAACCAUAACUACGUAUUGCCACUGAAACUUGUAGACACCGGUUUCAGAUACUGAGCGAAACUCUGAGCAAAGUCAAAAGGCAAAUGAAAAAACACACAAUGAGAGCAGCUAGUGGACGUCAACGCCGGCAAAUCAAUAAUUUAAAAGACAGCCAAUUCGGUGAAAAUGUGGCUGAGAACAUCAAUAGAAACUUCCAGAAAGAAAUGCGACUCGUGGGUAAUAUUCUCAACAUCACGACAUUCAAAGAAAAAAAAAACGCCAGAACAAUAAUGCAUCUGGCAUUUGUAAUGAAAUAUUUUCAUAGAUUCUUUGAGGAUGUUAUACAUGUAAAUGAUUUAUCUUGAUUAUAUCUAUCCCUAACGCCCCCUUCUCAACCCUCCGGGCACCUCAAACAUGCCCCCUUCUCCUGUUUAUGUCCUCCCUCUCUCUUUUUGUAACUGAUGAGUCCAGUUAAUGCUGCCUUUUGGAGUGUU